rnacentral:miRNA from 1 species
UCUUCCCUCAGCCAGGCUUGACU